rnacentral:misc_RNA from 1 species
UUAACUUAUUUUGUUUUUCUCAGACGACACUAAACACAGAGUUGGGGUCCUCUGGCGGGCACGCCCCGGCCGAAGCCGGGAGCCCCCGAGGGGGCGACCCGCCAAAGCAACAUCGGUAAAUAACACAGGGUGGGAGGUCUACCCCGGAGGGCAUGAUCUCUUUAAUGAUCCUUCCGCUGGUUCACCAACGGAAA